UCGGGAAUUUUGCCCAAUGAGCGAAAGCUUGAGGCAGCAACUCCGCGUGAGGGACGACGGCCUUAGGGUUGUAAACCUCUUUUCUCAGGGAAGAUUCAAGACGGUACCUGAGGAAUAAGCGACGGCUAACUACGUGCCAGCAGCCGCGGUAAUACGUAGGUCGCAAGCGUUGUCCGGAUUUACUGGGCGUAAAGAGCGCGCAGGCGGCUGAUCAAGUCCGACGUGAAAGCUCCCGGCUUAACUGGGAAAUUGCAUCGGAAACUGGUCGGCUUGAAGGUGGGAGAGGGUAGUGGAAUUCCCGGUGUAGUGGUGAAAUGCGUAGAUAUCGGGAGGAACACCAGUGGCGAAGGCGACUACCUGGCCCACUCUUGACGCUGAGGCGCGAAAGCUAGGGGAGCGAACGG
rnacentral:rRNA from 1 species